rnacentral:rRNA from 1 species
CAAGGCGACGAUCCCUAGCUGGUCUGAGAGGAUGACCAGCCACACUGGAACUGAGACACGGUCCAGACUCCUACGGGAGGCAGCAGUGGGGAAUAUUGCACAAUGGGCGCAAGCCUGAUGCAGCCAUGCCGCGUGUAUGAAGAAGGCCUUCGGGUUGUAAAGUACUUUCAGCGGGGAGGAAGGUGUUGUGGUUAAUAACCGCAGCAAUUGACGUUACCCGCAGAAGAAGCACCGGCUAACUCCGUGCCAGCAGCCGCGGUAAUACGGAGGGUGCAAGCGUUAAUCGGAAUUACUGGGCGUAAAGCGCACGCAGGCGGUCUGUCAAGUCGGAUGUGAAAUCCCCGGGCUCAACCUGGGAACUGCAUUCGAAACUGGCAGGCUUGAGUCUUGUAGAGGGGGGUAGAAUUCCAGGUGUAGCGGUGAAAUGCGUAGAGAUCUGGAGGAAUACCGGUGGCGAAGGCGGCCCCCUGGACAAAGACUGACGCUCAGGUGCGAAAGCGU